UUAGUACUCCCUCUGAUUCUAAAUUGUUGUCGAAAAAAUAUAACAUGUAUCUAAACACUUUUUAAGAAUAGAUACAUCCAUAUUCGGGCAAAUUUGACUCAAGAAUUUAGAAUCAGAGGGAGUACAUU
rnacentral:pre_miRNA from 1 species